rnacentral:rRNA from 1 species
CGAACGGGCGAGUAAUGCGUGACCAACCUGCCCCAUGCUCCAGAAUAGCUCUUGGAAACGGGUGGUAAUGCUGGAUGCUCCAACUUGACGCAUGUCUUGUUGGGAAAGUGUUUAGUGGCAUGGGAUGGGGUCGCGUCCUAUCAGCUUGUAGGCGGGGUAAUGGCCCACCUAGGCUUCGACGGGUAGCCGGCCUGAGAGGGCGGACGGCCACAUUGGGACUGAGAUACGGCCCAGACUCCUACGGGAGGCAGCAGGA